GAGUUUAUAUAUAGGCGGGUAUAUAUAUGUGCGUGUGUCUGCAAGUCAAGUCGUAGAAUUCAUCGAUUUUCUUUCUGGAUCGCUCGCUCGGUCGAUCACUCGCGUCUGUGAUUUUCCGGAGUAGCUAAUUUUUGGUGGGCGGAUAGAGGAGGACGAAUGAUGAAGAGCAAUUCGGAGAAAAGGGAAUUUGGAAAAAAAACUGGUGUCUGGGUUCUUUGAGCAGAAAAGCUACUUCUCUAGGUGACUUGAUGUGGCGGUGAUAUCUAUCACUUGAACCUCUAUCCAAAAGAAACCAAUCAAUUGGGAUGGUUGGUUCUUCUUGAUUAUGUCAUUUACACUUUUCAUAAGAGCAACGGUACGCUUUUCAUGGUUCCACAACCAGUAUCUUAUUUCUCAUUACCUUUUUUUCUACUUCGGUCUAGUGUGACUUCCUGAGAUGUAGAAAUAAAAACAAUAUAUGGAUAAAGGAACAGAUCAACAACCUGAGGUUAUUCAUAAAAAUUAAGGUAAUCUUGAUUUUAUGUUUAUCUGCAAUUUUUCAAUCGGAGAAUGAAUUUCUGUAUGUUCCACCUCGACUAA